rnacentral:rRNA from 1 species
UACGGAGGGAGCUAGCGUUAUUCGGAAUUACUGGGCGUAAAGCGUACGUAGGCGGCUUUGUAAGUAAGAGGUGAAAGCCCGGAGCUCAACUCCGGAACUGCCUUUUAGACUGCAUCGCUUGAAUCCAGGAGAGGUGAGUGGAAUUCCGAGUGUAGAGGUGAAAUUCGUAGAUAUUCGCAAGAACACCAGUGGCGAAGGCGGCUCACUGGCCCGAUACUGACGCUGAGGUGCGAAAGCGUGGGGAGCAAACAGG